UACGUAGGGCGCAAGCGUUAUCCGGAAUUAUUGGGCGUAAAGAGCUCGUAGGCGGUUUGUCGCGUCUGCCGUGAAAGUCCGGGGCUCAACUCCGGAUCUGCGGUGGGUACGGGCAGACUAGAGUGAUGUAGGGGAGACUGGAAUUCCUGGUGUAGCGGUGAAAUGCGCAGAUAUCAGGAAGAACACCGGUGGCGAAGGCGGGUCUCUGGGCAACUACUGACGCUGAGGAGCGAAAGCGUGGGGAGCAAACAGG
rnacentral:rRNA from 1 species